ensembl:lncRNA
UUUUUUUUUUUUUUUUUUGAGACAGGGUCUCACUCUGUCACCCAGGCUGGAAUGCAGUGGUGCAAUUACAGCUCACUGCAGCCUCAAACUCCUGGGCUAGAGCAUUCCUCUCACCUUAGCUAGGACCACAGGCGCACUCCACCAUGUCUGGUUAAUUUUUUCAUGUUUUGUAGAGACAAGCUCUUGCUUUGUCACCCAACCAGAAGCCAGGUUGGUGUUGAACUCCUGGGCUCAAGAGAUCCUCCCGCCUCAGCCUCCUGAACUACUGGGAUUACAGGCGUGAGCCACCUCGCCCAGCCUCAGAUAGUCCCUUAAAGGGCAAUUAGAAAGCUGAGGGCAAAGACAGAGCUGGACACACAGGACAUGUGAUCAAAGCCGACUGCUUCGAUGGGCAGUGAAGGCCAUUGAGAAGCCUCCUAAUGUAAACACUGUUCAUCCGUUUAUCAAUUGUUGGAAUUAAUCUUGCAGAUAAAGCACAGGAGUCUUCAGUGUGGGCGUGGGAGGGAGUAUAAAUGUUCCACACUUUGCCAGUGGGAAAAUGGGAAGUACAAGUGGCGAGAGUGGGCGUACUGGUCUUUCUGCCUCCCCCAGUGUGAGUCCCAGGACAUUGCUGAGGGUCCAGAAGUCUAAGUUAACUGAGAAGGAGCAACAUGAGCUUAUUCUUUAGAGGUACUGACCUGUCUCUGAUUCACUCUGGGAAAUAGGGCUAAGGACAGGCAGGAAGAGGGCAGGGGAAUCUGGAUUUUCCGUGAAAGCCUUACCCAUUUGAUGUUAAAUAUAUGCAUGUGCUAUUUCAAUUAAAAACCUAAUUCUUUCAAAAAGAUAUCAGACCCAGAAUUUAAGCAUAUCAAAAGCGGGAGUUUCAUAUUUUAAGCUCCUAUCCUUCUCUUUGAUACGGUUAAAAAGCUCUGCAUCCUAAUGAAGUCGGCUGUCAGUAGGAUGGGCUGGCAGCCACAGCGUAAAGCCUCCCCAAAAACCUGACACAAGAAUCUACAUCCCCAUCGAGCAGAAGCCAGCUUUAGGUAUGCACCAUUCCAAGUGUCUUUCUCAUGCAGAUAAACUGGGAAGGGAUUACAGGUGUGAGAUCAUAGCAUACUUGCCCCUUUCAGUAUAAAGACUUUUGAACUGUAACAACAACAAUGAAAAAUACACUACUUGAGCUUUGGAAAUAGCAAUCUUUCUUCUCUUGAUCUUCUUGCCAAAGACUCUUGCUUUCCUUCCAAGACAACCUCCUCAAAGCAGUUACAAUGAUCUGAUCAUGAAAUCCUAUCAUGUCACUCCCUGGCUCAAAAUCCUUCUUGGCUCUCCGUGGGUUACAGGACAAAAUUUACACCCAGCUGCUGGCCCCUUUUAGCUUGGGUUCAUUUCCCACUUGCCACAUUGCAGUUUCCUCAGGCAAACUGAGUUUCCACAGUUUCACUCAUCACAACCUUGCAGGUGCUGUUGCUCUUGCCCACAAUGUCCUCCUUAUCUCUGGCCAGCCCAACAGACCCAGCAUUUCUGCUUCCAAGAUUCAUCUCAAGUCCUGCCUCAGUGGGAAUGCCCCCUGAUUUGUCCCGAUGGACUUACCCCUCUAAUAAUCAUUGCAUUGAAUUUUCUUUCUUUCUCUCUCUCUCUCUCUCUCUCUCUCUCUCUUUCUCUCUCUCUUUCUUUCUUUCCUGAGACAGAGUUCUGCUCUGUGGCCCAGACUGGAGUGUAGUAGUAUGAUCUCAGUUCACUGCAAUCUCCACCUCCCAUGUUCAAGCAAUUCUUGUGCCUCACCUGGGCAACAGAGCAGGACUACAUCUCAAAAAAAAAAAAAAAGAAAACCUGAGACUCAGAGAGGUCAACUGCUCAGCCCAAAGUCACACAGUCAGCAGGGACCAGACUUAGGCCUCCCUACCUGCAAAUAUAGUUCACUGGUCUUCAGUUACUACUUGCUAAUUCUUCACCCAAGCACCCUAGGAAAUGGGUACCUCCUUCCCUCAAGGGAGAUACUACACCUCCCCUUGGCAUCCCAGGCACAUUGUUGAAAUUUAAUGAACCAUUCUAUUCAUCAGCUUUUAAAGAGAUCCCAUCAUGCAUCCUGCUCUGAUUACUGAGCAGAGGAACAUCUGGAAGUUUAAACCACUCAACAGCUGGGCAACAUUUUUAUCCUUAAAAGCAUAAUUUAUUACCCCAACAAUGAAAACCAUAUUUGUCAAUUUGGGGAGAAGGGUGUGCAACUUUGCAGCUAUCAGUUUCUGGGCUGGGACGGGUGUAUGUUUGCCCUUGGCCCCGUGACCUACUGGAGUAAACAGAAUGAGCCUGCUGCUAAUCCACUCUUGAUGAUUAAACUCCCAACCCACACAGAGGCAACCCUUCCCUAUUGCAGAUCAGGUCUGUGGGAGGGCUGCACGACAGGCCUUGAACCCGUACUUCUCUUCCAGGCUCAGCAGAUGCAUCCCAAGCAAGCUGAACUGGGUGCAGGGCAAGUCGCACGGGAGCAUCUCCACAAAAAGUAAAGAGUUCCAAACUCCAAAUGCUUGACCCCACCCUUAGAAUCAUCUCAAUCCAGUGACAUUCCACAGAGAUGAAAGAAUGCGAAUGAUCCUUGACGAUGCCAGAUGAGACUCGAUAGAAUCUGCGGUGCAAAAGAAAGAGACAGCCACCUUCUAAUUCCACCUCCACAUUUCUUAGAGAUUAAUGAUGAGGGUGAACUACUUGGCAAAGGAAUCCUUUCCAAUGUUAAGAGUCUAUAUGAUUCCAGGAAAAUCCAAAGCAGUAUUGGGUCCUACCUAUUUAAUAUGUACCCCAGGAACUCUGGCACAGGUAACCUUGAAAGGCAUCCUCAACUGCUCUGCUCUGAGUUCCUGAGGGCUGGGUAGCCUGCGGGUGCCAUUAGCAGACUUAUCUCCCCAGGCUCUUCCGCAUUGCAUGUCUCAACCAACCUACCUGGAACCCUGGAGGAAGAGAUCACCUCUAGACAGGAGAGCAUACCAGUUAGGACACAUAGAGGGUCUUUCAAAUCCCGGUAUGCCCUGCUACUGGUUAGCUGUAAACCUUGGGAAGACACUUAGCUCUCUGCCUCAGUUUCUCCAUCUGUACAACAGAGAAAUUACUAUGGAUCAACCACUGCAACUGUUGUGAAGAUUAAGUAUACAGGUUGAAUACAGAUGCAGAGUGCUCAGAGCAAAGCCUGGUGACAGAGCUAUCUACAAGCUCACUAACAGACAAGGAAAGCAAGAUCCAAGAGGAGGCCAGUGACCAGCCUCAUUUUGCAGACAUGGGGCUCACACUUGGAUCCCAGGACUCCAGAGCUGGGAAGAGAAAAACCAAAGUGACGUGUACCAUGAGCUUCUACAACUGUAAAGCACCCUUGCUCCUUCAAUGACGAUUUACCGAGCACUGAUUUUGCUAUAGCCCCAGUACCAGUGUGCCUACCCUGGGGCUCACAAGCCAAUUACAGAGCAACUAGCGCUCCAGCAGGGACCACAUAACAAGAGCCCAUCUAUACUAAAAAUAAAACAAAUUGGCUGGGAGUGGUAGCACAUACCUGCAAGUCCCAGCUACUCGGGAGGCUGAGGCAGGAGCAUCCCUUGAGCCUGGGAGAUAGAGGCUGUUGUGAGCUAUGAUCAUGCCACUGCCCUCCAGCCUAGGCGACAGAGUGAGAAAGACAGAGAGAAUAACCAGCACUUACUGAGCACCUACAACAUGCCAGCUCUGGGAAAGCCUACGUUCACGUCAUUCUACUCUCACAACAAGGUAAGGAUCUAGCGAGUACUAUUUAUUUUCUAGUUUUACAGAUGAGGACAUGGAGGUUCUAGAGGGUAAGUAACUUGCUGAGAUCUCAGAGUUUUGAAGCGGAAGACGGGGAAUUCAAAUCAACGCUGCUGGAACUGCAGAGCACACCCUUAUCCAUUAUGCAUGACUGCCUUCCAACAGAUGUCAGCAAUUUUUUGUGGCUUCUGGUGGUCUCUCACCGAAUAUCUGAAUAACACAGAACGCCAGCAGAGCCCUCAUUUAUAAAAAGCCCAGGCGCUGAGCCUGACGUAAUACAUGAAUGAAUAAAUCCUGCUGAUGAACCAGGUCCCUCUCCUGCAAGAGAGACCUGCCUGCUCUCCCUUCUUACAAUCUGGGUCUCAAGUGUGGAUAGAAUGUCAGGCAGGGGGCAGCACAGGAAUUAACAGCUAUUGAUUCCUCAUUGAGAUAUCCGGAGCAGGGUGGGGCCUCUUGGGAGCCCCUUCUAUUCAGUUGCGAUAUUUUUCUGUUUUUGAAAGGCUUAUCUUGGCAGGGAGGUAUCCAAGCUCAAGGGGCCAGAAAGCACACGUCUACUGGAGGAGGCCCC